UUGUAAGUCUUCCUUUUUAUUUGCUUUGCUUCUAUGUGCCUGAAAACUACACUACAUUUCAUACGCAGGCUGGAUUUACUUCACUACAGUUUCACCAUAACAUAACCAAAAUAAUAAAAGAUAAAUAUAAAAGAUAAAUAUACAGUGAUUUAGUUUAAAAAAAGGUAGAAUUUCAACUGAAUGACAAAAUUAAACAUUCAUUUUCUAGCGCUUAUCCUCACGAGGGUCAUGGGGGAUGCUGGAGUCUAUCCCAGCUGUCUUGGGGCGAGAGGCACGGGGUACACCCUGGACUGGUGGCCAGCCAAUCACAGGGCACAUAUAGACAAACAACCAUUCACACUCACAUUCAUACCUAUGGACAAUUUGGAGUGGCUAAUUAACCUAGCAUGUUUUUUUGUUUUUUUUACUUCUAAGAGCCAGUGGCGUCAUUAGGCCUAUUUUAAAAUGUUCUUAAAACCCCUAAAUAAUUUGAUAUUUUUUAUUGAUUUUUUAUUUUAUUUUUAAAAAAUUUUACAAAAAAAAUCUGACAAAUUUUAUAUAAUAGGGCAAAAGCAGGCUAAUAAGCAAGCCAAUAAGCAGGCUAAUACUAGCCUACUACUACUACUACUAGUAGUAGUAGUAAUAAUCAUUCAUUCAUUUUCUACUGCUUAUCCUCACGAGGGUCGCGGGGGAAAUGCUGGAGCCUAUCCCAGCUGUCUUGGGGCGAGAGGCGGGGUCCACCCUGGACUGGUGGCCAGCCAAUCCCAGGGCACAUAUAGACAAACAACCAUUCACACUCACAUUCAUACCUAUGGACAAUUUGGAGCGGCUAAUUAAACUAGCAUGUUUUUUUGUUUUUUUUUACUUCUAAGAGCCAGUGGCAUCAUUAGGCCUAUUUUAAAAUGUUCUUAAGACCCCUAAAUAAUUUUUAUAAUUUAUAAUUAUAAUAUUUUUUUUGAUUUUUUAUUUUAUUUAAAAAAAAAUUACAAAAAAAAUCUGACAAAUUUUAUAUAAUAGGGCAAAAGCAGGCUAAUAAGCAAGCCAAUAAGCAGGCUAAUACUAGCCUACUACUACUACUAGUAGUACUAAUAAUCAUUCAUUCAUUUUCUACCGCUUUUCCUCACGAGGGUCGCGGGGGAAAUGCUGGAGCCUAUCCCAGCUGUCUUGGGGCGAGAGGCGGGGUACACCCUGGACUGGUGGCCAGCCAAUCCCAGGGCACAUAUAGACAAACAACCAUUCACACUCACAUUCAUACCUAUGGACAAUUUGGAGCGGCUAAUUAACCUAGCAUGUUUUUUUUUUGGAAUGUGGGAGGAAACCGGAGUACCCGGAGAAAACCCACGCAUGCACUUGGGAGAACAUGCAAACUCCACACAGAGAUGGCCGAGGGUGGAAUCGAACCCGGGUCUCCUGAGCUGUGAGGUGUACCUAAUGUUGUGGCCGUACAAGCGUUUCUAAGCAAACCUCCUUAAAGUUUGGGUGUUUGGCAUCUUGGACCAGCUGCAGCAGGACGGCCUCGGCGGUGGUGAGGAAGGCGCCGCUCUGCUUCAGGCGGGACAGAGCGAACAAGCGGUCCGUUUGGCUGCAUUGGUGUGUAUGUGUGUGUGUGUGUGUGUGUGUGUUGAUACACAGUUAUUACUUGAAAUAGAAAACAUGGAGGCGUGCGUGCGUGCGUCUACCUCCGCGAUGACACGGCGUCAGCCACAAUGUGCACUUCCAUUCCCUUUUCCAGCAGGUCAAAGGUUGUACACUGCCGACACGGAGCAAAGGCCAAUCAGGAGGAAGCGUUAAUCAUUUACAUUCCAUGCUUCCGCAUUACCGCAAUACAAGCGUGCGCCUCAAUCCCACAUAGAAUGGCUUGUUUGGGGUUCCCCAAGGCCUGCAGCUCCUUCUCCACGUCCUCCGUCAUCAUAGUGAAUGACGUUUUAGCACGUGGGGUCAAAUCUCCAGCUCCCAGCUCCGGCACCGUGGGUCCCAGACCUUUAGGGUACUGCUCAGUUAAAAUGGCAGGGAUGCCGAGGACCCGGCUGGCCUGUCACAGCAAUCUGGCGGCAUUGCUGACAAUGUUGGUGAACUGGAAGAUAUUGGGUCGGAAUUUCUCCUGCAUGUCACACAGGAAGAGCACUGCAUCCUUGGUGGAGAGUCUUCCAAUGCCUGCCACUGGUAAAACAGGAAAUACUAGCAUGUUAGUACCAUUUAUUGCAGCUUUAGGGUCAAAUGUCAACCAGGUCAGCUGACACAAGUUGACAAAAAGCUACAUACAACUAGUCCUUUCAAUGGACCAUUUCCACAAUGCACAUGGUGGUCUAUAAAAAAAAAAGAUGUAAGCAGACGUAAACUAGCAUUGCAAGCGCAGGUGACUUACUGUUGCUGCGUUGGUUGUCACUGGGUCAAGAGUUAAAGCACCGCUACUUCAAGUACAAGCUCCACUUUUAAACUGUUCCCAUGUGACACCACCUGCGUUAAAGGAGACUACUCCAACCAAAUAACCACAAAGCGAUACACACAAACAAUUAGAUAAACAUUACUUGCAUAAAUAACAAAAACGGACUCAACAAACCUAGCAUAAAGCUAACAGGAUCAAGUUCAUGCAGUGUUUUAUAAACCACGCCUCAGAAAGGCUAAAUCUCCAAUGGGAUCAGGCAUUCAUGUGAUUGACGUUUAUCUAACCCAAUUGGACGCAAUAACACCAACCCCGGCUGAGGUGGGUGGGCGGUAACCAAAAAAAAAUGCAGUCAUCGCCUAAAAUGUCUGACAGUGCAGAGUCCCCGACCGAGGCGCAGAAGGAAGAGUUACACUCGCCGGCCGAAGACACGGCGACAAGUGAAGAGAAGAAAAAGAUUGAUGUGCUAUUAAAAGCAGUUGGGGACACCCCCAUCAUGAAAACGAAGAAAUGGGCAGUGGACCGGGGCAGGACGGUUCAAUCGCUUGCACAGUUCAUCUCCCGCUUCCUGAAGCUUGAUGCUAGUGAGCAACUG